rnacentral:rRNA from 1 species
AGUACAGUAGAGGUAGGCGGAAUUCGUGGUGUAGCGNUGAAAUGCUUAGAUAUCACGAAGAANUCCGAUUGCGAAGGCAGCUUGCUGGACUGUAACUGACGNUGAGGCACGAAAGCGUGGGGAUCAAACAGGAUUAGAUACCCUGGUAGNCCACGCCGUAAACGAUGAAUGCUAGCUGUUAGCGAUAUACUGUUAGCGGCACAGAGAAAUCGUUAAGCAUUCCACCUGGGGAGUACGCCGGCAACGGUGAAACUCAAAGGAAUUGACGGGGGCCCGCACAAGCGGAGGAACAUGUGGUUUAAUUCGAUGAUACGCGAGGAACCUUACCUGGGCUUAAAUUGCAGUGGAAUAACGUGGAAACAUGUUAGCCUUCGGGCCGCUGUGAAGGUGCUGCAUGGUUGUCGUCAGCUCGUGCCGUGAGGUGUCGGCUUAAGUGCCAUAACGAGCGCAACCCUCAUCGAUAGUUACUAACAGGUUAAGCUGAGGACUCUAUCGAGACUGCCGACGUAAGUCGUGAGGAAGGUGGGGAUGACGUCAAAUCAGCACGGCCCUUACGUCCAGGGCUACACACGUGUUACAAUGGGGGGUACAAAGGGCAGCUACCUGGCGACAGGAUGCUAAUCUCUAAAACCUCUCUCAGUUCGGAUUGGAGUCUGCAACCCGACUCCAUGAAGCUGGAUUCGCUAGUAAUCGCGCAUCAGCCACGGCGCGGUGAAUACGUUCCCGGGCCUUGUACACACCGCCCGUCAAGCCAUGGGAGCCGGGGGGACCUGAAGUAUGCAACCGUAAGGAGCGUCCUAGGGUAAAACUGGUGACUGGGGCU